UCAAAAUUGUGUACAGUAACAGACCAUAUUUAUGAGAUUAAUAUUCUUAUAUAAUGACGCAAUCAUUAAUAUUUUAUCUGCACUAAUCGUUUUGUAACUAUUUUACUCGUAAACAUAGAAACCCACAAAUUUUAUGCUUUAUGUGUAAAAGAGUCGCAAAACGAUUAAGGCUUAAGGAAAAUUAUGCAAUUAAUCAAAUUAAGAUUCAUGAAAAAAUACAUAAAAUUUAGUCCGAGUUUGGAUCGACUUAUCACUAUAGAAACAAUCUUAAUUUAAAGUUAGGGCCAUUCCAGCGACGUGGUGGCUUAGUUCGAGGUUCAAGAUUCAAGAAAGAAUGCAUAGAAAUUAUCAGCAUAGAUCCAUAUAUGCAUUAGAGAUAGAGAAUACUCGUUAACAAUUGUUCCGAUGUGUUCGCCAGCAUGAACACGAAUAUUUUUCUAUGGUUACGCUAUAAAACCAUAGAAAAUUAUUUGUUGCAUGGUAUUAGAUUUUUUUAAAAUCGAAUGUGAAUAGUAUUAGAUUGUUUUUUAUUAAACGAGAACAAGGUUACUGAACGUGAAGGAAAAGACAAUAUUGGUUACAGAGAAUUAGAAAUAAGUUUACAUGUGCAAAAUAAAUGUUUUAAAUUAUAUAAAGGUUAUGGGUUAAAAGCCUGUAGUCCCUACCAAAAUUAAUAUUAGUUUAUCCCUAACAUCCGUCAGUUCUUCUAAGUUUUGAUUUUGAUAUAUGUUUUUUUUUUUUGUAACUGAUUUUGAUAUAUGUUAACUGAGCGAAUGACACUUCACCAAAAUAGAUGUUUUAACGUUCUUUUCUUUUUUGAUAAUUGGUUUUCAUAGAUGUUUUAACCUUAUAUUAUAAUAUAAACCAUGGCACUGAUAAGAGUAGUAACUCUAUAUUAUAUAAUCAUAUAACAUUCUUUUCAUUGGUACCUCAUUCCAUCUUUGCCGCAUGAUCCAUUAAAAAGUUUUCUUCAAUAGGAAAUUGUUUUUGGAGCAUUCAGAGAAAACAGAAACAAGGACUGGAAAUGAUUUAAAUAUAUAAGAAUGACGAAUAUCCUUUUUCAUUUUUUUUUUGUAGGUUGAUCCGAAAAGCUUCACAAUUUUUCAAUUUUGUCAAAAAUCAUGAUCUGUUUUUAUGUUUUGUAUACAUCUAGUUAGGUUAGUCGUAGUAUAUUACCAUGAACUCAUUUAAAUAUUACAAGAUAUCUUAUCCAAAAAAAAGAAUAAAAGAGAACUUAAUAUAUAUAUAUAUACAUAAAAUAUGUGUAUUUACGUGUUAUGACUUUUUAGUUGCUAAAGAACGUGUUGUGACUUGUGACUUUACAAUGAAUUUUGUUUGUCAAGUAUGUGAAUUUAUUUCCAAAGAAAUAGCAAAGAGAUAUAAGAAGUUUUAGAUCUAAAGCUAUUAAAAAGCAAAAUUCUACUUAAGAAUCUCCGAAGAAAAGAAGAAGAUAAAAAGGCUCUUAAAUACAAGAUUAGUUCUAAUGUAGUUGUAGUAGAAAGGAUUAAACCUGCAGAGGCAAAUAUUCAAAGGAUCGAAGGAAGUUGGAAAGAUCCCGAAAGAUACUUGAAUGGACGAUAGCCGGAGGCAAAGGCGGUUGGCUUCCCGGCCCCCGGCCAUCGGAAGGUCAAGGUACACCUAAACCAAACAAUCCACAAGUGAUGGAGGGAGGUGACUGUAGAUCCUUGACAACGGUGAGAAGAGCUCACGAUGAGGAAGAGAGACUCUGGAGAAUGCAAGUUAAUCUCCCAGCAGCGGAGAGAAGAGCUCACGAUGAGGAAGAGAGACUUUAUAAUGAUACAAGUUGUGUUUGUGUCAUUCUAUAUACAAGCACAUAUAUAAACACAUAAUUUUCAUAUAAACAUAUCAACACCUGCCCCGUGGGAACUACCCGCCCCGUAGGAACUACCCGUCCCGUGGGUCUCAGGCUGGCUCUGCAGGACACCGACCCUAACCUUUCACAUGUCUAUAUGUAUGCACAUUUUUUUAUGCUCCUCACAAGAUGAUGGUGAGAAGCCGAGACCAGGUGUUUUAUUCUCUAAUCCGUUUCCGGUUCCCGAUCAUAGCAAAG